AUGGAUCUCUCACCAGCCACCGCGGGUGCCUAUGGCGGAAAGGCGGCGGACGCGUACCGGAAGGCGCUCAGCUCAGCUGCCUCGGCCGCCGCGUACGCCGUGCUGGCGCGGAGCAUGGCGCGUGCGCUCCUCCCGGACGAGCUGCGCGCCGCGGUGCGCUGGGCCGCGUCCGUGCUCCGCGCGCGCCUCGGCUGGGGCGCCAAGGAGCGGCGAACGCUCGUCAUCCGAAGCCACACCGGCGGCGGCGGUCGCGAGGAGAAUCUUCUCUUCGACGCGGCGCGGACGUACCUGUCCUCCAGGCUCGACCCGCGCGCCAUGCGCCGUCUCGGGCUCAGGCUGUGCGCGACCAGGGACGAUGGUGGCCUGAGAAGCUGGACGAAGCGCCUCUUCAUUGAGCCCGGGGACUCCACCGUCGAUGUCUUCGACGGCGUCGAGUUCAUGUGGUCGUCCGUCCAGAAGACUAAUGGCGGCGGAGGAGGAAACAAGAAGUCCAAGAACGGGGAGUCCGGCACCGCCGAGUUUCUGCUCAAGCUCAGCUUCGACGCCAAGCACACAGACAUGGCUAUGGAGAGGUACGUGCCCUUCGUCAUGGGGGCGGCCGAGGAGACGAGGCUGCGGGAGCGUUCGCUCAUGAUCUGCAUGAACGAGGGCCGAACAUGGUUCAGGCUGCACCACCAUCACCCCGCCACGUUCGACACGCUCGCCAUGGACCCGGUGCUCAAGCAGUCCAUCGUCGCCGACCUCGACCUGUUCGCCAACAGGAGGGACCACUACCGGCGGAUUGGCAAGGCGUGGAAGCGCGGGUACCUUCUCUACGGCCCGCCCGGCACCGGCAAGUCCAGCCUGGUGGCCGCCAUGGCCAACCACCUCCGCUACAACAUCUACGACCUCGACCUCAGCCACGUGCAAAACACAACGCUGCAGUGGCUGCUCCUCACCAUGUCUGACAAGUCCAUCCUUGUCAUCGAGGACAUCGACUGCUGCUGCGAUGCCAUGUUAAGGGAGGUGGACAGCAAGACGCCGGCGCGGACUUGCAAAGAAGACGGCGGCGGCUCAUCAGAAACUUCGGACGGUACGCCGUCUCCGAAGCGCAAAUCGGAGAUCACGCUUUCGGGGCUGCUCAACUUCAUCGACGGGCUCUGGUCGACCAGUGGCGAGGAGCGCCUCAUCGUCUUCACCACCAAUUACAAGGACCGGCUCGACCCGGCGCUGCUGCGGCCGGGGCGCAUGGACAUGCACGUCUACAUGGGCUACUGCUGCUGGGAGGCAUUCAAGACUCUGGCCCGGAACUACUUCCUCGUCGACGACCACCCCCUCUUCCCGGAGAUACAGGAACUGCUUAUGGCGGUGCAGGUGACGCCGGCCGAGGUGUCCGAGAUGCUGCUGAGGACCAAUGAGCCUGACGUCGCGCUCCGGAGUCUCACGGAGUUCCUCUUAGAGAAGAAGCAGGGACAGAGCAAGAUGGAGGAAGUGCAUGAAGAGAACUAA
rnacentral:rRNA from 1 species